ACCAUGUAUAAGUUAACUUUACAAAAGACAGAACACAAAAAAUACACACAUUCAUAAAUUAAUACAUACUCAAUCAUCAACACAUAUCCAACCACCAAAACAUCAAGCUAGUCGCUAUUAAUUUCAAGAAAUUUCGGCAGAAUUUCCUUUAAAAAUAGAUAUCCAGAAAAAUCUAAAUCUGUCUACAAAACUUACAAUCAACAAUACAUAUCCAAUCUAAAUCUAUGUUAAAUCCUAAAACAAACCAAUUAAAACAAAUCUUUUAAAACUAUAUUAUAAACCCAAAAAUAAAACUUACAUCACGGUACACCUUUACUUGAGUAUCUAGCUUUGGCAUCCAACUUUACAAAUCCUAAGGGUCAAAAUCAUUAAAUAAAACUAUGUUAGAAAUACAUGUGAAUGAGGAAAUAAAAAAAAAAGAGUAAGAAUGCCAUUUUCCAAAACCAUUAAUAAGGCUUAGUCAAAAUGUUAAAGAGUCAAAAAUAUAUCUUGCAACCUGAGACAAAUUAUUACACAGAAGAUAAUAUUGAUAUAUAUUAAAUCAAAUUCUACCACUCUUUAAACAAUAUCCCCAAAUCGUUUCAUCUUAAAUUCACUUUAUUUUAGAUGCAACCUACAGAAAUUUCCAAAUCACAUGUUUUCCCCUUCUCUUCCUCCAAAUAAAUUUUCUGUUGUAUUCUAUGAUUCUAGUUUUCUAGAAAACAUAGUAAACAAUUUGGAAACAGUUAUUUUGAAAAUGAUAAUAAUUACCCAAUUUCAGAAAGACAUUAAGAACAAAAAACUAAAAGUGGAGAGCAACAAUACGAUAACAAAAGCAGAAAACAUAAACAAUAUCCAUAAACAGGCCUCUAGUACUUUCAUUUUUAUGAGAUCUAAAAUGGAGGCUAAAGUCAACUUUUUUCCCUCCCGUUUUUCUUCUGUUCAAGUAAAUGGAACUAAAUGGCCUGACAGCAAGUAGCAUAUUGAAAUUCUUGAUUAGGAUCUAAUUAAUCAAAAAAAUUUCCUCAAGAGCAAUAUACUUCCAAGUUGAAAACAAAAAUUGACAUAGUUCUCAUUGUUGUUUUAUUAGUAUGACGAAAAAAAGUGAUCCAUUCUCUAAGAUGCUAUCCAACCCCAAUAUACAGAUGGCCUUGAGUGGACACUAAUUAUUUCAAAAUUAGUAAUGUAGUAGCAAAACCUUGAUAAGUUUGUUCUCCUUUACGAAGUUUAACAAAUUAAAACUAUUUACACUGAAAAUAGGAAUCAUCAGCAUUGAACAAACAUGAGACAGGGAUAAAACAACAGACAAAAGGAAAGGCCAUGGUUACUGAGAUUUUAGAAACCAAAUAUAAAUUCAAGAAAACAUAAUUCUUGAAAUGAAAUAAUAGAGAAUCAAAGGAAUCCAAAAACUGCAUCCGAACUUCCGGCUUCUUCGUCAGAUUAAAUCUCAGCCACAUAAAUAAAAAUAUAAGAAAUCUCGAGGAAACUACAGUUUAAACUAUCAUAAAAUGCAAAGUAAUGUAGCAUUUGUUAGAGGGUGGAAUUGUAAGACCCUUUUAGUAUUUUAACAAUAAAUAACAUUGAAUCUGACAAUGGUUGAUACAAAUAAAACCCAUUACUCCUAUAUCCAAUAGAAACUUCCUUGCAACUUAGAAACUCCUAACAUUAGGAACAUUUACAUAUCUGAGUAUAUUAUAUAUACAUGUAUUUGUAUGGGCAGAAAGAGAUAGAGAAGAAAAAAUUACUUGGAGGUAGGCUGGCCCUUGCAGAGUUCUUUGCUGCAAGAAAGUGCCCUCUAGGUCCUUGAUAGUGAUUAAAAUAAUUCGACAACUAUAAAGAAAAUGAAAUACACUUAAAACAAUAAUUAAAUUUUGGAACAUACGCUUCUUUUCUAUACCUCCUGGACACAGGCCGUCACCCUAAUCAAUCUCGUUGUAAAUUAAAAUAUAAACUCUUGAAAAACUGAAGUAAUUCAAGAGCUUGUUCCUACUCAACAUGUGCACAUGGUGGCUUGCUCCUACUUAACUUAUUAUAGGACAUUUAAAAAUGUAAAAUUUUAUUUAAAACAUUCAUCAAAAACAGGGGGAAUAAAACAUGAUUUCCAACCACACCCAUCUUCUGUUUUAGGGAUCAAAAAGCCAUAAUAUGCUUUUAAUACUCAUUUUCAUGCACCUCCCCUACAAAUGGAUCUUGAAGGAACUUUGAAGACUGGUGAUAUAAAAGGCUAUUUAAAUUUCCAAAUUACCCUUUAUAAGACCCUAACCCAAAGUUCUUUUUAUUCAAAAGGUAUUGGGAAAUCAAAAGGUCAGAAAGGUAUAAACUUGGGAAGGUGGAAGGAAUAUUUAAAAAAUGGAUCUUGAACUUUGAUCUUAUCAAAGUUAAACCUUUCCUAUACAAUCUUAAUAGUAGGCAUCUUUUAAACAAUGAGAAAAAUUAAACAUGGCGCUUUCGUGAUCACGCCUUUGAAACAAUGUGUUACCUUCUUGGGACAUUUCCAUCUAACCCAGUUGGUUUCCCCAUUUUUAAUCAAAUAUUUAGCUCUAAAACCUCAAGAAAAAUAAAAAUCAUAAACUAGCUAUCUAUCCUUUAUACAAACCCAGCUGACAAAUCCAACACUACACAAACAUCAAUGCUCAAUAUUGACUCUAAUAGUAAUAAUAUCCAUGAAUCCUCAUCAGAUGCAAUUAACAAUUUUCAAUAAUUUAAAUAAUCUCUUAAUUCAAAUACCCACUGAACCCACCCAAGUCUUUUUUUUAACCAUCUUUUUUCUCAAUUCUUCGUUUGCCCCAUGAAAGCUGUAGUCCAGAAUUCCUAAAACCACCCAGCAUCCCAAAUCAAGCUUAUACAUUCUAUUUAAAAUCAAGCUGCUUCUGCUUAUACAUUCUACAUACCAAAAUCAAGCUUAUACACUUUCUUAUUUAAAAUAAAAUCAAAUGCAAAUCCCCGCUUAUCUGUAACUCUAUCAUACACAAUCUGACCAAAUUCAAGAAACCCAUACCAGUUUGUCACCAAAAUUUUACAAUCAUAAUUUCCAAAAAAGCAACUCAAAGUUCUUUUUACUCAUUAUAAUGCCCAUGACUCCAAUCUGUAACUCUACCAUACACAAUCUGACCAAAUUCAAGAAACCCAUAUCAGUUUGUCACCAAAAUUUUACAAUCAUAAUUUCCAAAAAAGCAACCCAAAGUUCUUUUUACUCAUUAUAAUCCCCAUGACUCCUAUCUGUAACUCUAUCAUACACAAUCUGACCAAAUUCAAGAAACCCAGAUCAGUUUGUCACCAAAAAAGCAUGGCAAGAAACCCACUUAUGACCAAAUUCAUAAUUUCCAAAAAAACAAAUCACCAAAGCCAAAGAAUAUAGUAUAAAUAUCAAAAUAGACCUCUACAUCAUGGCAUAUGGCAAGUUACCCACAUAAAGCCUGUCAGCUUCAAUUUCAUCAUCGUCGUCAUAAUUUCACCUGGUUGGAUGAGUUCGACUCUGUCAAAUGCAGCAGAAGCACAGAAGAGGGGAGAGGGAGAUAAGAGGGCAAAAUAGGGAAAUAGUUGGGCGGAACGGUGGUGCUUGCGAUGGAAAAUGGUCAUUGGUAAAAAUGGAAGUUUUUACUAAGGGAUUUGUAAGUGGAGGAGAGUAUAAGGGAAGGAGAAGGCGGAAUGAAAAGGGGGCAGAGGUAUAAGGCGGGAUUUGGGUAGCGUGUAGGGGGGUUUGAUUUGGGUGGUUUUUUUGAGAUGAA
rnacentral:lncRNA from 1 species